GAUGAACGCUGGCGGCGUGCCUAAUACAUGCAAGUCGAACGCACAGCGAAAGGUGCUUGCACCUUUCAAGUGAGUGGCGAACGGGUGAGUAACACGUGGAUAACCUACCUCAAGGUUGGGGAUAACAUUUGGAAACAGAUGCUAAUACCGAAUAAAACUUAGUAUCGCAUGAUACCAGGUUAAAAGGCGCUACGGCGUCACCUAGAGAUGGAUCCGCGGUGCAUUAGUUAGUUGGUGGGUAAAGGCUUACCAAGACAAUGAUGCAUAGCCGAGUUGAGAGACUGAUCGGCCACAUUGGGACUGAGACACGGCCCAAACUCCUACGGGAGGCUGCAGUAGGGAAUCUUCCACAAGUGGGCGAAAGCCUGAUGGAGCAACGCCGCGUGUGUGAUGAAGGCUUUCGGGUCGUAAAGCACUGUUGUAUGGGAAGAACAGCUAGAGUAGGGAAUGACUUUAGUUUGACGGUACCAUACCAGAAAGGGACGGCUAAAUACGUGCCAGCAG
rnacentral:rRNA from 1 species